rnacentral:rRNA from 1 species
UACGUAGGGUGCAAGCGUUAUCCGGAAUUAUUGGGCGUAAAGAGCUCGUAGGCGGUUUGUCGCGUCUGCUGUGAAAACUGGGGGCUCAACUCCCAGCCUGCAGUGGGUACGGGCAGACUAGAGUGCGGUAGGGGAGAUUGGAAUUCCUGGUGUAGCGGUGGAAUGCGCAGAUAUCAGGAGGAACACCGAUGGCGAAGGCAGAUCUCUGGGCCGUGACUGACGCUGAGGAGCGAAAGCAUGGGGAGCGAACAGG